ACCUGGCUGGCUCAGUCAGUAGAGCACGUGACUCUUGAGCUCAAGGGUGUGAGUUCGAACCCCAUGUUGGGUA
rnacentral:tRNA from 1 species